GGGAAUGUAGUUCACUGGUAAGAGUAUUUGCCUUGCAUGCAUGAGUCCCUGAGUUCAAUCUCAGCAACACCA
rfam:Neotoma lepida isolate 417 scaffold_1267, whole genome shotgun sequence.